CCACACAGCUAAUCUGCUUUGGAUUUUCGGAAGGGCCUCGCUACUGGGCCCAUCAUCAUCCUGUGUCUUAUCUUGAUGUUUUCCAAAGGACAUUGCUUAAAGAAACUCAAAGCAAACCCUGGGAAAGGCAGCCCAUUCUACCUUUUCCAGCUCUGAAGACUGGCCUGCUUUUGAAUAAUAGCUGGGGUGCACCUAGAAAUCAGGGGCGAAUCACACAAAAUGAGCGGGACCCAGGAGACCAGGGGCUUGCACAAGACAGGUCUCUUCUCAAAGCCGUCCUUCCAGAGCAGGACCGUCAGUCCCUCGCCUGGGUCAUGGAGAUGCGGUGUCCUCAGAGGACUCGGCUUCUGGCCCGAGGCCUCUCCCGGCAGGGUCUGAGAAACGAAAGCUGCCUCACCAUGAAUGCCAGUCCUGCGUUUUUGUUUUUUCUGCACUAAAUUAAGCCGCUGCCCAAGUGGGAGUUAAGUCAGACAGGAAGAGGGCAGGACCCCCACACCGCUGCUGCGUACUGUUUCGGAACAGCUUGUCUUCCGUAAGCCCUGCCAGACAGUGGAUUAAACACACCCCAGGCCCCGCAUGCUGGCUGGUGCCCCGUGCCCGACACCGGCCCUCUCCCAGCCCCCAGGUCUUGGGCUGUUCUGUGGCUCAUGAUGUGUGGAUUUGCCUGCUGUUGAACCAGGUCUUCUCUUUCCUUCAUAUGCACCUGUCAACCAAAAUGCUUUUUGAAAAACAGAACUUUACAGCUGGGCAUGGUGGCUCACACCUGUCAUCUCAGCACUUCAGGAAGCCGAGGGGUGGGGAUUGCUUGAUCCCAGGAGUUUGAGACCAGCCUGGGCAACAUAGUGAGUCCUCAUCUCUACACUUUUUUUGUUGUUGUUUUGUUUUGUUUUUUAAUAGAGACAGGGUCUCCCUCUGUCACACAGGCUGGAGUGCAGUGGCACGAUCAUAGCUCAUUGCAGCCUUGAACUCCUGGGCUCUAGCAACCCUCCCACUUCUGCCUCCUGAGUUGCUGGGACCACUGGAGUGCACCCCCACAUCCAGCCGUAAAGCUCUACUUUUAUAAUUUAUGUUUAUAUUUUUAUUGCUCUGUUCUCAUAAUUUAUCAUUUUUUUAACAUUUAUUUCUAUUUUUGUAGAGACAGGGUCUUACCAUCUUGCCCAGGCUGCUCUUGAACUCCUGGGCUCAAGCCAUCCUCCCUCCUCGGCCUCCCAAAGUGCCGGGAUUACAGGUGUGAGCCACCACACCCAGCCAACUACAAAAUUUUUGUUAAAAUUAGCCUGGCAUGGUGGCCGCCUGUACCUGUAGUCUGAGAUUCUCAGGAGGGUGAGCUCAGAUUCUCAUGAGGGUGAGGUGGGUGGCAGGUACCUGUAGUCUCAGAUACUCAGGAGGGUGAGGUGGGAGAAUCACUUGAGCCCACGUCAAGGCUGCAAUGAGCUAUGAUCACGCCAUCGCACUACUGGGUGGUAGAACGAGACCCUGUCCUAAAAAUGUUUUUAACAAAAAGUUAUUUUGUUCCUUAGUUUAGAUUAAGGUGAUAGUUUUCAAAGAACAUUGAAAGGGACCUGUCAUAUUCAGUAAAGAAGCGAAUUGAAUUAAAAACACAAACCUGACAGAACACAGCCCAUAUGAGUGUACCCACACAUGUUGGUGAGCUCGAUUCAUAACCCUGAGCCCCCGAGACUCACAAAGAUGGCCUGAAACAGAUACAGGCAAAGGGCUACCAAAGUUCUCGCUUUCAGGGCUAUCAGGUCUGAAGGAACAGGCUGGCUUUCUUAGUUUUGUUUUGUUUUUUGUUUGUUUGGGUUUUUUUGUUUUUUGUUUUGAGACAGUGUUUUGCUCUCGUUGCCCAGGCUGGAGUGCAGUGGCACGAUCUAAGCUCACUGCAACCUCCACCUCCUGGGUUCAAGUGAUUCUCCUGCCUCAGCCUCCCGAGUAGCUGGGAUUACAGAAGCCUACCAGCACACCCAGCUAAUUUUUGUAUUUUUAGUACAGACAGGGUUUCACCAUGUUGAAAUCAGCCAAGCUGAUCUCAAACUCCUGACCUCAGGUGAUCUACCUGCCUUGGCCUCCUGAAGUGCUGGGAUUAUAGGUGUGAGCCACUGUGCCCCGUUGGCUUUUUUUCUGAUCUCUCAGUUGGGAGACCACCCGUUUGGCUGGAGUCGUGGGGUCUGGCCAGGUCCAAAUGAUGACACAAACCCAGACAGGAAGUGCAGCUGGCAUCCAUCAGUCCAGUGUGCCCAGUGUGGGGAGUCCCCUGAUGCCAGUCAAACACGGCUCCACUCUGGAGGCCUCUUUGUAAGCUAAGAGCUGAUUCUCCCAAAUGCUCCCUAGUUACACAGAAAAGGACCUUCCUUGUCUUCUGCAAAAUAAAUCCAGGUGGGAUUUGGCAAAGAGCUGGGGCACAUGGCCUCCUCGGAGCUGCAUCAAUACACUUGCACUUCGGGCUCCGUUCUGCGUAUUCGUGCUGGACGAGGACUUGCAGACCAGAAAAGUAGCCCUUGGGUGAGCAGUUGAAGUUAAGACCCUCGGCUCCUGGGCUGACUUGCUAGAAGGGCGUGCUGUCAUUAUCCCUGGGGAUCAAACGUCUGGUCUGUGUGGCCACACUCCAAAGGCAGGCUCAAAGGUCUCCAUGGUACUCCAGGGCCCCUUGAGGAUUCGGGUCUGUGGGGGCUGCCCGGGAAGGGACGGAGAGCGAGGGCCCUUGGAGGCAGCCUGUUUGCUCCACACAAUGACAGGUGACUUAGCUGUGUCCUUCCCGGGAGCCACAGUGGCUUCACGUACCCCUCUCCUAUCCCCAGUUCAGAGCAGAAUACAUGCAGGCUGGAGGCAGCUGUGGUUUGCAGCCUGAUACUUGCUGAAGACAUUUACAUGCUUUGAAGAAAUGUGUUUCAGUUUUGGGUCUUUACUGAGAAUGAGCCAGAGGGGGAAGAACUUGUGGUGAGGGAGGGUCUUAUCUCUUCCCAGGCCACAUCAGCCUGGGGCCAACUGGGGCAGUGUUGUUGCCCCUCUCCCCGCUCCCUUGUAGGACUUCCACCCCCACCUCCAACCACUGACAAGUACGUCUGGGAAUCCCCGAAGAUGUCUUUCAUAAGCUCAUAAAUAAACCUGGUCACACUUAUGGAAUGCCUGCUCUUAAUUUUCUUUUCUUUUUCUAGCCCUCACUGUCCUGGCCUCUGGUUCUGCUAAGGUGUGUGACGGUGGACCACCAUGGUCCUCCGAUUGGGUGCCCCUGCUACAAGUACCAUCAGCCCCUGCAGCCUCUUGAGAGAGGUGACAGUGGUGGCACAUGGGUACGGUCCCCUUGCCCUUUGCCCCUUGCCCCUUGCCAGGCACCGCCCAAAGCCCUGGGCACUGCUGCCGGUGCUGGUGGUGGCAGAGGCCCCUGUGGCUCUCGGGCAUUAGCCUGUAGGUCUUCUGCUGCAAAGCGCCUCUCACCCCUCCUGGUUGCGUGGGUGGGGUGGUCCUGAAGCCCCGUGGCUUCCUUUAUUUCUGCCUUCUCUGUAGAAUUCAAACAUGAACCCUGCAGGGCUAGACCAAGACACAAAUAUCAAUUUCUAAAAACACCCCUUUGAGGGUUGGGCACGGCGGCUCACGCCUGUAAUCCCAGCGCUUUGGGAGGCCGAGGCGGGUGGAUCACCUGAGGUCAGGAGUUCGAGACCAUCCUGGCCAACAGGGUGAAACCCCAUCUGUACAAAAAAUACAAAAAAUAGCCGGG
rnacentral:lncRNA from 1 species